GGCCGGUUAGCUCAACUGGAUAGAGCGAUGCUCCUCUAAAGCACAGGUUGUGGGUUCAAAUCCCAUACUGGCCU